rnacentral:rRNA from 1 species
GUCUACGACCAUACCACCCGGAAAACACCGGUUCUCGUCUGAUCACCGAAGUUAAGUCUGGUCGGGCGAAGUUAGUACUUGGAUGGGUGACCGCCUGGGAAUACUUCGUGUUGUAGACU